rnacentral:rRNA from 1 species
GACGAACGCUGGCGGCGUGCUUAACACAUGCAAGUCGAACGGAAAGGCCCUGCUUUUGUGGGGUGCUCGAGUGGCGAACGGGUGAGUAACACGUGAGUAACCUGCCCUUGACUUUGGGAUAACUUCAGGAAACUGGGGCUAAUACCCGAUAGGAGCUCCUGCUGCAUGGUGGGGGUUGGAAAGUUUCGGCGGUUGGGGAUGGACUCGCGGCUUAUCAUCUUGUUGGUGGGGUAGUGGCUUACCAAGGCUUUGACGGGUAGCCGGCCUGAGAGGGUGACCGGCCACAUUGGGACUGAGAUACGGCCCAGACUCCUACGGGAGGCAGCAGUGGGGAAUAUUGCACAAUGGGCGGAAGCCUGAUGCAGCAACGCCGCGUGCGGGAUGACGGCCUUCGGGUUGUAAACCGCUUUCGCCUGCGACGAAGCGUGAGUGACGGUAAUGGGUAAAGAAGCACCGGCUAACUACGUG